CCAGUAGCCCCGAAGUGCUGUCGGACCCCCGACCUGGCAGCACCUCGGGGCUCUUCC
rnacentral:sRNA from 22 species